CACGUAGUUAGCCGGGGCUUCUUCUUCAGGUACCGUCAUCGUCGUUCCUGCUGGCAGAGCUUUACGCGCCGAGGCGCUUCUUCACUCACGCGGCGUCGCUGCAUCAGGGUUUCCCCCAUUGUGCAAUAUUCCCCACUGCUGCCUCCCGUAGGAGUUUGGGCCGUGUCUCAGUCCCAAUGUGGCCGUCCACCCUCUCAGGCCGGCUACCGAUCGUCGCUUUGGUGGGCCGUUACCCCGCCAACUGGCUAAUCGGACGCGGGCUCAUCCCGUACCACCGGAGUUUUCAAGGCCGGGGCAUGCGCCCCCGCCUGUCAUGCGGUGUUAGCACCUGUUUCCAGGUGUUAUCCCCCGGUACGGGGCAGAUUGCCCACGCGUUACUCACCCGUCCGCCACUAGGCCGCGUCCGGUUCGGGUCAGGCAAGCCUUCCCCUCCCCUUACGCGGCCCCGUUCGACUUGCAUGUGUUAGGCACGUCGCCAGCGUUCAUCCUGAGCCAGGAUCAAACUCU
rnacentral:rRNA from 1 species